GCCUACGGGCGGCAGCAGGCGCGAAACCUCCGCAAUGCGAGAAAUCGCGACGGGGGGACCCCAAGUGCCACUCUUAACGGGGUGGCUUUUCUUAAGUGUAAAAAGCUUUUGGAAUAAGGGCUGGGCAAGACCGGUGCCAGCCGCCGCGGUAACACCGGCAGCUCUAGUGGUAGCCAUUUUUAUUGGGCCUAAAGCGUUCGUAGCCGGUUUGAUAAGUCUCUGGUGAAAUCCUAUAGCUUAACUGUGGGAAUUGCUGGAGAUACUAUUAGACUUGAGGUCGGGAGAGGUUAGCGGUACUCCCAGGGUAGGGGUGAAAUCCUGUAAUCCUGGGAGGACCACCUGUGGCGAAGGCGGCUAACUGGAACGAACCUGACGGUGAGGGACGAAAGCCAGGGGCGCGAACCGGAUUAGAUACCCUAGUAGUC
rnacentral:rRNA from 1 species